rnacentral:lncRNA from 1 species
UUUAAAGCUCAUCUUUAGAAAACUGUAAGGAAAAGGCAAUCUUUUCUCCAGUUCUUUAGAGCUUAUACCUGGGGAGCACCUUGAACAGUCUGGGGGAAAUUUCUAGAUAAAAGUCCAUGGAGCAGGGCUUCUAGAAAGGUAGGUUCCUAUAGCUGCCUACCCUAUUCUCUGAACAGAGCAGCGAUGCCACACAUUUGGAGACCAGCAUGGUCUUCAAGUAAGAUAGUACCAUGCUAGUCUCCAAAUGACCCCCAGGGAGAUGGAUUUCUAGCAGAACCUCUUCAUUCUCUGGCUGCAGUGGGUCCAAAAGAUUCCUUUCCAUGAUGCAUCCCAGCCUUACAGAAGAAAUGCAUGUUAGAUCCUUCUAUCAUCCUGAGAAUUUGGACAUGUGAAAAUAAGCAAGAAACCCAGAACCAAAUGUAUAGAUUUGGAAGCUGUUGAUCUGAGAAGAAUCUGAGCCUGGUUCGAUUUGAUAUAUGUGUACUAUAUUCAUGUAAUCUUGCAGAAGUGAGUAUAUAUACAGCAUACCAUUCAUGUAAUUGUUUACUCAUUUUUUCCAUCAAUGAUUUAUUGAAGAUGUAUUGUGUGCUAAGUGCUGGGAAUAGAGAAAUGAAUCACACAUUCCUUGAUAAGUGGGGAGGGCCAUUUUGUUGUAUUAAAAAUUUUGGAUUUAUCUUUCAGAAAGUGUUAUUCUCACUGGCUCUGGCCUGGACCAAGAGAAUGCAGAAAUGGCUUCCAUUCUGUGAGCUGUGACUUCUAACGUGGCCACAUAGCUGGUGGAGAGGUGACAACCUUCAUCUCCAAGGAUCCCCUGCACUGCUUGCUUUAUGCCCAGAGCAACCUCAUGCUGACAAGGACUGCACAGUUUUGAACACCCAUGCUCCAAUCAAAAGAAACCAAUUUGUGAGAGACGAUAUAAAUCCAUGAAUACUGCACUGAAACCUCUUUCUGCUCCAGGCAGAGAAGAUAAAUUACCACCCGAGUGAUAUAAAGUUAGUUUGAAUAUUUCAUUGGAUCAAAUGCAACAUGUCUCAGAACCUCUCCUCUUUUAAGUCAGAAUUAAAGAAUUGUUAUCAGGCAUAAUAAUAGACACUAUCAUUUGCAUACAUUUUAUCUCAAGAGACUUUUGAAGUUAUGCAAUACGCCAGUGGUUAAUUGUUCUUCACACUCCUGACAUAUCAAAUUACAGCUCAGAUGAGAGAGCAACCCAUUUGUGACUGGAAUGAUUGGCAGGAGCCUACAAGGAGAGCAUCUUCGAGGACUGAAGGAGGAGUAUCUUUUCAGGCUUUUCCAUGGAGACCUUGGAGACCAUGGGUUCUAGAUGGUUCUGUUAUAACAUGAUGGAGACUUCAUUAGUCUGGGUUCCUAGACGAGUGUGAAACACUUUCCCCACUGAUUGAAUUACAAUUAUAAUGUGAAAGAAAAAUAAAUCUUUAUUGUGUAAAACUACUGAAAUAUCAGAGUUACAAUACUGUAGUGUAGCAAAUUCUGGCAAAUACUUCCCAGCAUAUUUUCAAUUCCAUUUCAUUGGCCAAGCCUAGAUGAUAUGGUCACCUAUAGCUGAAGGAAGGCUGGGAAAGAUGGAAGAGGAUUGCUUAUUUGGCUUAAA